GACAAAGGAAGUUUUAGGAUAGAGGGGGCUACGUGGAGGACAGGUAUGCAGAGGAUUGACUUUUUUGGGAAAUCGAUUUAACGGCUGCUGAUUUGACUGCCUCUCUUUGGUGCGGUUUGGACCGUCAGAUCGUCCUUGUGAUGUCAGAGAGAUUCUGAUUAUUCUUUGAAGGAUUAUGAAUCCUAGUCAUGCGUGUGGUUUGAUUGUUUUUUUGUCCAAUCAGUACAAGAUGUCUGGCCGUGUAAUGUCAAACUGUUCACUGAAGGUACUUGACAUAUAUAUGCUACUGAUCAUAAUUAAAGAGAUUUAUGUAGUAAUCA